UAUACGCGACAUUUUAUAUGACAAGGCGUAUUCGAUCGCUGCGAAUUCUUAUUACAACCGUAUUGACUUGUUCCGGAAUGUGAUGAGUGAUUAGGCUUCAUAAAUUAUACAGUUUACAUUACUUUAGAAUAAUAUAACUUAGUUCAUAUCACUAUACAAAUGAUAGAUCUUUUAAUCAGACAAUUCAAAGCGAUGUUCACACAUUAUGGACCUUCUAUCUAUUGUGACUGCGGAACCACAUGCGGGACGAAGGGGGAAUUCUCUUAACCACGGACGACACCUAAUACCGGACGUUAGCUAUAUCUGCAAUAAUUGAAUCGCUACUGAGCCGUUUUUCCGCAUAAACCGUAGAGGGGAUAGAUCAAACAACAAGUUUUGACACGUUCUAAUCGUGUGUGCACAGCUAAGGAGAUCGAUUGAUUGUUGCGUAUGAUGGGAAACUGAUGCAUCGUAUAGAUUAUAAAUUAUUAUAUCUACCAAUUUGCGUGGUCGAAAGACGUAACAUUCUGGCAAAACAAAUUCACCUAAAAGAGGCAUCUUCAAAAUAUGGCUUUGCAAGAAGCACUUGCUGCCAAAAAUGGGCACAUGAGGCUUGUGUCGAUAUCCCUAAAUGUUCUGACAAUUAUAUUUGUGAUCGCUGCAAAUUAUAUUAAAACUGUUCUCUGAGUACGUUAAUAUGUCUUAUUGUGUCUGGUAUUAAGUGGUACACUUAAUGAUUUCAAAAUCAUAUACUAAAGUUUAAUGUUAAUUUAAGUUAACUACAAUGAUAAUAUUGAUUAUUUCGUUGCUUUAUUUUGAUAUCUACUAUUGUUAACUGAUAAAUAAUGCAGGAUAAAAAGAAUGAAA